GAUCCUGGCUCAGGACGAACGCUGGCGGCGUGCUUAACACAUGCAAGUCGAACGCUGAAGCCCAGCUUGCUGGGUGGAUGAGUGGCGAACGGGUGAGUAACACGUGAGUAACCUGCCCCCUUCUUUGGGGUAACGCCCGGAAACGGGUGCUAAUACUGGAUAUUCACUGGCCUUCGCAUGGGGGUUGGGUGGGAAAAGGGUUUUUUUCUUGGUGGGGGGAGUGGGCUCGCGGCCUAUCAGCUUGUUGGUGGGGUGAUGGCCU
rnacentral:rRNA from 1 species